UACGUAGGGGGCAAGCGUUGUCCGGAAUCAUUGGGCGUAAAGCGCGUGUAGGCGGCCCGGUAAGUCCGCUGUAAAAGUCCAGGGCUCAACCCUGAAAAGCCGGUGGAUACUGUCGGGCUCGAGUCCGGAAGAGGCGAGUGGAAUUCCUGGUGUAGCGGUGAAAUGCGCAGAUAUCAGGAGGAACACCGAUGGCGAAGGCAGCUCGCUGGGACGGUACUGACGCUGAGACGCGAAAGCGUGGGGAGCAAACAGG
rnacentral:rRNA from 1 species